rnacentral:rRNA from 1 species
UACGAAGGGGGCUAGCGUUGCUCGGAAUCACUGGGCGUAAAGCGCACGUAGGCGGACUCUUAAGUCGGUGGUGAAAUCCUGGAGCUCAACUCCAGAACUGCCUUCGAUACUGAGAGUCUUGAGUCCGGGAGAGGUGAGUGGAACUGCGAGUGUAGAGGUGAAAUUCGUAGAUAUUCGCAAGAACACCAGUGGCGAAGGCGGCUCACUGGCCCGGUACUGACGCUGAGGUGCGAAAGCGGUGGGGAGCAAACAGG